ACCAGCAAGUGAAGUGAGGGUGACAUGCACGUGAAGGAGAGUAGUCACUGAACUGUGCCUACUGCUUGUCCCAACUUGAUACACCCAUGAUCGUCGUUGUAACCCUGGCGAUAUUCAGAGCACAAUAUCGUGGUUUGGAGCUUGAAAUCUACCACUAGUGAGUCGCGUGAACAGCUCUACAGCAGGGGAGAUCAUUUGUGUUUUUCCACAUGCUUUGUAUGCACCCAACACACCGGGACGUAUCGAGUAAGUGUGUCUGCAUCUUAAAACAUUGGGUUGUAAUGAUUAUUUGUUCUGCACUUUAAGUUUAAUGAAGUAUUGUGGCUUGGAAAUAAUGUAUUUUUAUUUCUGUUUCUCUAUUAAGCAAGCCACUGCUGUUGUCUAUUAUGGUGUAAUUGUCUUUAAUCUGUUAGAUACUCUGAUCUCUUAGAUCCCUUUUCGAACUCUUUUAAAAUUCAGUUAACAUCUCAGUCUUUCCUCUUAAUGCUGUACAAUUUUUCACUGUCCAGUCGGGAAUAAAGCCCACAUAAAAAUUAUUUUGUGUUCAGUUCAGUCUUUCCAAAGACCCGGCUACACAA